CAGGAAGGUAGUUCUCCAGGGACAGGGUUGGAGAGCCCUGGUUUAAACAAUACAAAAGGUAACACUGUCACUUAUACUGUAUUUCCACCAGGUAUCUAAUUUCAAAGACUAGUGAGAGAAGAACAGGGCUUGACCACCACCACCAAUCACUGCAAAACUAUGACGGUAUUGUUAAUGAGCCGAGGCGAGGAUGUCCCUCCCGAGCUCAUGUCUGUCUCUGAGCAGCUGAGUGGUGUCUGUCACUCCCAGAGGGACACCUCCAUCACCCUGAUCAAACAUGCCUUCCAGGCUGCCCUGGGGACCAAGUACCCCCUCCAGACACUGCAUCAUGCACUGCAGGAAAUGUCCAUACACUGAUGCUGCCCUUAGCCAAAUGUCACAUGUACUCCUGGGAUAAGGACAAAUUUGGUAAUGAGCUUUUCCCAUUGCUUCUUUCUCCAUAUCCAAGACAGUACAUUUCAAACCCAUACUGUAAAAUCUGUGUAGCCUUUGUGUCUGUGGAUUGUCAAUGAUGUAAUUCUGUGUAUUCGUUCAGACAUUUUAAAAGACAUUCUUCAGAGUGAGCUGGACCGGCUCCCAGUCUUUAACCUUUACAGAGACAAGGGAGAGGAGGAUGAGGAAACAGAGGAGGAAACAAGAAAGAACCGAUACACAGACCACCGGAUCUCCACUGUGUCCACCUGCUCCAAAUACUAUGUUCUCCGGGACUCCCUGACCUCCAGCUUGUCUGUGCCCUCCAUCCUGUCUGUAUGUGUGAAAAACAUCAGUCAUGUGGACUCAAUCAUCCAUUUACUGGUGUAGACAGAUGUGCCUGUAUUGAAUUUCCUUGUAUCCUACAAUGUUUCACAGUGUAUCUGAAUACACUGUUGAGAUGUAGUACCAGUCAAAAGUUGACACACAUUCAAAGGUUUUUCUUCAUUUUGACUAUUUCAUACAUUGUAGAAUAAUAGUGAAGACAUUACAACUAUGAAAUAACACAUCAUCGAACCCUGGAAUGAGUAGUUGUGUCCAAACUUAGAAUACACAAGGUGCAAUAACGAAAUUUGGUUGUGCAUCAGCUAUUUCUCUUGGUACUGUAUAUCAGUCACUCAAUUUGAUUGAUCAUUUAGUCUAGCCAUCUAUCUAAACUUGUAGUAAUCAUGGUCGAAUUCCGACCCUUUACUCAGGGGCCCCCAUUGGUUCUGAUUUAGCAUAUGUGGACAACUACAAAUACCUAGGUGUCUGGCUAGACUAUAAAUUAUCCUUCCAGACUCAUAUUAAGCAUCUCCAAUCCAAAAUUAAAUCUAGAAUCGGCUUCCUAUUUCGCAAUAAAGCCUCCUUCACUCACGUUGCCAAACAUACCCUCGUAAAACUGACUAUCCUACCGAUCCUCGACUUCAGCGAUGUCAUUUACAAAAUAGCCUCCAACACUCUUCUCAGAAAGCUGGAUGCAAUCUAUCGCAGUGCCAUCUGUUUUGUCACCAAAGCCCCAUAUACCACCCACCACUACUAACAAAUUGAUAUCGUUAGUCACUCUAACUCAUAUCAUAUUAACAGGUGAGUGGUGGCAGUGGGACCACCUUCCCUGUGUGUCUAGACCAGGAUGAGAAGAUCAUCCAAAGUGUCAUCAGAUACAGUGUCAAUUAAACCAACCACAGGCCUGAUCAUGUGCAGCCAAUAUACAGUAUAUUACAGAAUUAUUUUACAUGACAUGUUGCUGACCCAAUAAUUAUUUUGUUGUGUGUAGGUGUGAGGUGACAUUGUGCUGUAAACCAGGCAGCGGUUCUGACUGGAGGUCUCACAGGAGCCGGCCUGGUCAGGUCCAGCCACUGCACCCCUCCUUCUGCUCCCUGCUCUGCCUGCCCAUCACCUCCUGUGGCUCUCAACCAUCAUAAAACACUGGACUAGGCUACUCUCUCUCCUAAACCACUCAGACAUAAACACCCACAUGUCCUAAUAAUAAUGUAUUCCAUUGAGCAUGAAGCUUUUAUCCAAAGCAACAUACAGUCAUGUAUACAUACAUACAGUUGAAGUUGGAAAUUGACAUACACCUUAGCCAAAUACAUUUCAACUCAGUUUUUCAAAAUUCCUGACAUUUAAUCCUAGUAAAAAUGCCCUGUCUUAGGUCAGUUAGGAUCACCACUUUAUUUUAAGACUGUGAAAAGUCAGAAUAAUAGGAGAGAGAAUGACUUAUUUCAGGCUUUAUUCCUUUCAUCACAUUCCCAGUGGGUCAAAAGUUUACAUACACUCAAUUAGUAUUUGGUAGCAUUGCCUUUAAAAUGUUUAACUUGGGUCAAAUGUUUGGGUAGCCUUCCAUAUGCAUUUUGGCCCAUUCCUCCUGACAGAGCUGGUGUAACUGAGUCAGGUUUGUAGGCCUCCUUGCUCCCACAUGCUUUUACAGUUCUGCCCACACAUUUUCUAUAGGAUUGAGGUCAGGGCUUUGUGAUGGCCACUCCAAUACCUUGACAUUGUUGUCCUUAAGCAAUUUUACCACAACUUAUGAAGUAUGCAUAGGGUCAUUGUCCAUUUAGAAGACCCAUUUGCGACCAGGCUUUAACUUCCUGACUGAUAUCUUGAGAUGUUGCUUCAAUAUAUCCACAUAAUUUUCCUUCCUCAUGAGGCCAUGUAUUUUGUGAAGUGCACCAGUGCCUCCUGCAGCAAGCACCCCCUCAACAUGAUGCUUCCACCCCCAUGCUUCACGGUUGGGAUGGUGUUCUUUAGCUUGCAAGCCUUCCCUUUUUCCUCCAAACAUAACGAUGGUCAUUAUGGCCAAACAGUUCUAUUUUUGAUUCAUCAGGCCAGAGGACAUUUCUCCAAAAAGUACGAUCUUUGACCCCAUGUGCAGUUGCAAACCGUUGUCUGGCUUUUUUUUAAUGGCGGUUUUGGAGCAGUGGCUUCUUCCUUGCUGAGUGGCCUUUCAGGUUAUGUAAAUAUAGGACUCGUUUUACUGUUGAUAUAGAUACUUUGUACCUGUUUCCUCCAGAAUCUUCACAAGGUCUUUUGCUGUUGUUCUGGAAAUGAUUUGCACUUUUCGCACCAAAGUACGUUCAUCUCUAGGAGACAGAACGUGUCUCCUUCCUGAGAGGUAUAAUGGCUGCAUGGUCCCAUGGUGUUUAUACUUGCGUACUAUUGUUUGUACAGAUGAACAUGCUACCUUCAGGCAUUUAGAAAUUGCUCCCAAGGAUGAACCAGACUUGUGGAGGUCUAUAAUUUUUUAUUCUGAGGUCUUGGCUGAUUUCUUUUGAUUUUCCCAUGAUGUCAAGCAAAGAGGUACUGAGUUUGAAGGUAGACCUUGAAAUACAUCCACAUGUACACCUCCAAUUGACUCAAAUGAUGUCAAUUAGCCUAUCAGAAUCUUCUAAAAGCCAUGACAUAAUGUUCUGUAAUGUUCCAAGCUGUUUAAAGGCGCAGUAAACUUAGUGUAUGUAAACUUCUGACCCACUGGAAUUGUGAUACAAUGAAUUAUAAGUGAAAUAAUCUGUAAACAAUUGUUGGAAAAAUUACUUCUGUCAUGCACAAAGUAGAUGUCCUAACCGACUUUCCAAAACUAUAGUUUGUUAACAAGAAAUUUCUGGAGUGGUUGGAAAAACUAGUUUUAAUGACUCCAACCUAAGUGUAUGCAAACUUCUGACUUCAACUGUACAUCUUAUGUAUGGUCCUGGGAAUCAAACCCACUACCCUGGCAUUACAAGUGCCCUGCUCUACCAACUGAGCUACAGAGGAAGUUGUAUUGUUUUGCACAUCUGGUGUUCUGUGUACUGUAAUAGUCAACUCAGUCAAAAAUAUUUUGGCUGCAUGAUCUUUUCUCCUGUUUUAUUUUUUGACAACCUUGAGUGGAUGCCUUGUGAUGCAUUGUACUUGUGUGAUGAUGUCUAGACUAGACAAAGGGAUUUUUACUGUUGUGGUUCUGUGAGAAAAUGUGUUUCACUCAAGAUAUUGUUCAGUCCUCAUGGGCUUCCAUGGGCAUUGCUAGCAGUGCACUGUACAUUUCUUAUCAUGUCUGAAGAUUCAUUAAUUGAAAUGUUCUCUAUGCUAUAGUGUCAACAUUUAAUUUUUCAACUAUGAAUGGCCCUGUAGACUCCUCAGUCCUCAUUGACAAGUGUACAACUUGAAUGAAUGCAUAUAUUUAAAUAAAUAAAUCCUAU